UUACGGGGGGUUAGAAACGUAAAAAAAAAUCGGUUUUUUUGUUUGUUCACAAGGGGCUGGUUGUAAUUUCAAUAGCCUUUUAGAUUACUUUUGCAUUUGAUUCAAGUUUGGGUUUACUUUUGCAUUAUAAAUCAAGUUGUGAGUCACAUUUGGCAAUUUUCCCUUCUUAGUUAUGUAUGAUCUGAUAGUUGCAGUGAUUUGUGUGGUAAAAAUUAUAUAUAUAGGCGACCAAAAAGUAGCGGCUAUAGGUUAUUUGUGCGUCGAUAUGGAUGACAACCUAUGGUCUAGCUCUUAAUGUCAAAACAGAUUUAACAUCUUUCAACCCUAAAGUGCGAUGUUGAAUAGGAAACCUUCAUGUUGGAAGCAUUAAGGAUUUCAUUGAGGAUGGAAAACAGGUAAGAGAGGACAUAUGCUAUGAUAAGCUUCGACAAUUUAUAGUUGAUAGAUAUAGCUCGAUAGUUGUUACUCAAGGAGUUCUCUGAAGUUUUACAAUGUUAAAUCGAAAAGCAAACAUUUACAAGGGUACCAUGGUCCAUGGUUCUUGAUUAGAAAGUUUUUAUUUCAUUUUCUGGUUGUGAAGGGAACUUUAUGUGGACACGGUGUUAAUAGUGAAAACAUAGGUUUUGUUUGGCUGUUUGUGAUGUUGUCGGCUUCCUGUAGUUAUAUAUGUGGGAGAUUGGUCAGUCUUUCUAUUUCUCUCUCCACAUCGUAAACUUCCCUCCAAAGAAAACUUAUCCCUUUUUUGGAUUGACCACAAACGAUGUCUCUGGAGUAUGCUUUCUCCAUGAGUUUCUGCUCCUUCUCCAAAGCAAUCACCUUUAAGAGAGAAGCCUUAUCCUUUCACAGAAUCAUCACCUCUGGAGCAAAGGCAAUUACAGGAGAUGGUGAAGUUGAACCCCAGAAAAAGAUAAGCUCUGAUCUCAAGAGGGUUUACUACAAGAAUGAGGAAAUUGAGACCCAAGUUAAGUAUUCUACUCACAAUGGUAGCAGAGUAAUAGCAAGAAGACUAUCUAUUAUGGAUAGAAGCAAGGCCAUAGCAAAGCUGGAAUCAUUAGGAAAAGAAGUGAGAAACGCAGGCUAUGCUCCAGAGACGAAGACUAUGUUUCUUGAAAACUUGCUUCGGAUAUAAAAAUCAGCCGUUCCUAAUGGAAUAGAGGAUAUUUUCGGUCGAACAGAGACGAAAGUCGGCCAUAGUGAUCCGAGAGUCCCGUGUGGAAGGGCUCUCGCUCAUGCAUACAUUUGUCUCAUACACUAUGGGGAUGGUGAGAAGAGAUAUGUUCUUCAUAACAUCGAUGACGAAGCUAAAGAGAAAGCAUUGAUGAAUCACAGCAAACGGUUAGCUAUUGCUUUUGGGCUUAUAAACACGAGUCCUCCUGGAUUAGAGUGAUGAAGAAUUUUAGGAUAUGUGGAGGUUGCCACAACUUAAUGAAGAUAUUAUCCAGCAUUGAAGAUAGAAAUACUAGAGAAUGUUUGCUACCCUAAAAUUUUCUUAUCUUUCUUAGAACGAUGUGCGCCUAAGUGCGAAAACAUUUUUGUAUUGUUAGAACCUUUUGAAUCAUUGUACUACUUGAUUCAAAAGGUUUUGAAAAUAUACCCGAUCUAAUUAAAUGUUAAAAAUAGAUCUCAUUGUAAGAGAUAACAAGAGGUUUCAUCA